CAAUAGCGUAUAUUAAAGUUGUUGCGGUUAAAAAGCUCGUAGUUGGAUCUCGGCGAGCAGAGGGCGGUUCGUCAUUUGACGCUACUACCCUAUUUGCUCGUGUUUUUGUCGGAGGUCUCUUGGUGCUCUUAACCGAGUGUCAAGUGAUGCCGGCAGGUUUACUUUGAAAAAAUUAGAGUGCUCAAAGCAGGCUUUACACGCUUGAAUAUUCGUGCAUGGAAUAAUAGAAUAGGACGUCGUUUCUAUUUUGUUGGUUUUCGGAAAUCGACGUAAUGAUUAAUAGGGACAGUCGGGGGCAUUAGUAUUCCAACGACAGAGGUGAAAUUCUUGGACCGUUGGAAGACUAACUACUGCGAAAGCAUUUGCCAAGAAUGUUUUCAUUAA
rnacentral:rRNA from 1 species